AGAACGAACGCUGGCGGCAUGCCUAACACAUGCAAGUCGAACGCUUCCGGGGCUUCGGUCGCGGAGGAGUGGCGCACGGGUGAGUAGCGCGUGGGAACCUGCCCUGUUGUGGGGGAUAACCGAAGGAAACUUCGGCUAAUACCGCAUACGCCCCGGGACUUGGUCUUCGGAUUAGGUCUGGGGGGAAAGAUUGAUCGCAGCAGGAGGGGCCCGCGUCGGAUUAGCUGGUUGGUGGGGUAACGGCUCACCAAGGCGAUGAUCCGUAGCUGGUCUGAGAGGAUGAUCAGCCACACUGGGACUGAGACACGGCCCAGACUCCUACGGGAGGCAGCAGUGGGGAAUAUUGGACAAUGGGGGCAACCCUGAUCCAGCAAUGCCGCGUGAGUGAUGAAGGCCUUAGGGUUGUAAAGCUCUUUCGCCCGCGACGAUGAUGACGGUAGCGGGAGAAGAAGCCCGGCUAACUUCGCGCCAGCAGCCGCGGU
rnacentral:rRNA from 1 species